CCGAAGGGCAGAGCCCGCCCCGAGCUCCCCCUGCGCUCGGAGACCUCGCAGUCCUCUCUGUCCGUUGGGGCGAGAACGGAAAAUAUCGUGUGCGAGGAAGCCGCCGUCUUUCCUUUCUCAGCUCUGCUCUGGGGGCGGGUGUUUAUUGCUCUUCCCAGUCUUCCAGCGCACGCGAGAAAGCAGCAAAGGAUUAAGCCGUGCCGGAAGGACGGGCAGCUGUGCGUUGCCCGGCUUCACACCUUGUGGCAGGGGAUCGGUAACGGCUGCGAGGGGAUCCUCGCGCCCCUCGUGAGGGAGAGGCCCCGACCAUUGGGCGGGAGCUUCUGGCGCCGCGCGUGCCCUUUCACUCGCAGUAGUAAUGGGGGCCGGGCAGGCAGGAAGAGGCUGUGCCGGCUGUGCGCUGCCUUUUAGUCAAGAUUGUCGCUUCAUUUUACUUUUUCUCGUAUACUUUUGGGGUAAUUUGCCUGUUCAAUGUGCGAAUUGAAAAAGGAGCCAGCUAGGCUUGUCCCCAGAAAUGCAGUGUGCUUUUAGUGGUGAAGUCAAGCUGUGGAUACCUGAAGCGUGUUCACUUCGGUGUAGAGUGUGUAAAUUGAGGGAUAGCAUUCCAUUUUCAAAUGGAGUAUUUCUGUGGCGUCAGUUAAUUGUUGCACUCAGGUAUCAGUUUUUCCACCUUAGGCACUCAGAAAAUCAAAUACUAAUCCAUAGAAUUACAGAAAUGCAUAUUGCUAGGAACAUAAUUGUUCAGUCUGCUUGACUGUGAAAAACACUUUAGUUGGCUAAUGAAGAAUAGCCAACCUGAUGGAUGGACUAACUUUGUGGAAAUACUUUUCUCAUUAUUUUAGUGUCCCCUUGUGGAAAAGUACAGAAUUGAGGAUACUUUUGGGAUUUGUAUCCAAUAAACUUUUUGAACAGUGCUUCAAAGUCAUAAUUUCUUUGAACAGCAUUUUUAUUUUCAUCUUGCCAAUUUGCGGUAGUAGAUGCCCCACCUCAUAGUUUUUAUAAAUAACAUUCCUGGAAAUCAGCACAAAAAUCCCUUUGAAAAUAGCAUAAAACAGUUUUUCAGCAUGUUCUUGAAGUGUCCUUGAUUGCAUGACUUUACAGGGCAAACUUUAUACAGUAGAGGUCAGUAGGACCUCUGGGAGUGCCACUCCUGCCUUCUGGGUUAAAACAUUUAGCGCUUUGCAGCCUCUCAUCUCCUUGAGACACCUGAGCACUAAUAAGAUGAAAUCAGGUACCAGUACAAGAACAUGUGAAUCCCUUGCUUUUAAGGAUACGGAGUGUUAGCACAGAGUUGCAUAGGCAGGGCUGCCCUUUACAAGUGGUGAAAAACAUGGAAUAGGUGUGUGGGGUUUUGUUUGUUUGUUUGUUUUGUAGGAAAGUUUAGAAUUAAUGCAAUCUUUUGGAGAAUAAUAGUUUUGUUUUUUUUUAAUUAAUAUUAGCUCUAUUGCUGAUUAGUUUUUUUAGCUUUUUUUUGGGGGGGGGGGGAAGGAUUUUUGUAAGGAUCUCAGUGGGUGAAAAAGUUAGAAUUGCUGAAAAAAAAAAAAAAAGAAAAGAAAAGGUAGAGUUUAUCAACAGCUGUCAGUAUCUGGAGACGCACUGCCUUCUGGUCAUCUUCUAUUGUCCAGUGGUAUCCAGAGGUCCAUGAGAUUAGCAAGCAACAUGGGAUGAAGAGCCAGAAUAGAGACAAGCUUCCAACAGAAGGUGAUAAAAUCAUUAGAGCACUGACUGGGUGACACCAGCAAUGUUUGUAAGUAAAUUCUUGGAAGGCAUGGAACACUUCUCUGUGGUCCCUUAUGGGAAAGAAGAAACAGUGAAGCUACUUCCUGGUACUGAGGGACUCUGCAGAUUCCAACCACUUCUGAAGAUAGGAUUGUCAGUGGAGAGUUCAUUGGUCUGCUCAAAUAUGUGAGUUUGUGUAACAUAACAGAAAUCUUAUACUUAACGGAAGAUCCACUUGUUCAAGCAGGCAUGGCAUCUGCACCCUGGUUCUGACUAUUUUCUAGUUGGUCCAAGAUAGCAAGAUUUCAAACAGAGAAAACGAAAGUACAGCAGAUUCCUGCUGAAGCAUGAAUAAUCAGGAAUGAUGGAAGAGCUGGCACCAUUUCACCAUCAGAAGCACUCACCUUCAGCAAGUUCAGGGUAAUCCCUUAACUUGAUUUUUGGGGCAGCACUGAUGGACUUGAACAUCUCAGCUGCAUCCAAGGUAACACAAAGGGGAUGUGGACUUCUAAGGGAAUUAGAUUUAUUUCUUAUUGUUAAAUCUGAUCUACAAAAUUGAUAUUUCCUGUAUAAAGCAAAAAACUGAGCUGCCCAAGAGUAUAGAUUUUCUGUAAAACCCUCCUUUCUGUGAUUCUUAUUUCACAGCAUGAGUUGCCAGCUGAAGGAUAAUAUUUUGUAAUUCAUAUGGCAGUUUUAUACUCUG